rnacentral:rRNA from 1 species
UGCGCAGGCGGAAACUUAAGUCAGUGGUGAAAUCCUGCAGCUUAACUGUAGAAUUGCCAUUGAUACUGAUCUUCUUGAAUUUAGUUGAGGUGGGCGGAAUGUGUAAUGUAGCGGUGAAAUGCUUAGAUAUUACACAGAACACCGAUUGCGAAGGCAGCUCACUAAACUAACAUUGACGCUAAGGUACGAAAGCGUGGGGAGCGAACAGGAUUAGAUACCCUGGUAGUCC